AGAUUGAACGCUGGCGGCAUGCCUGACACAUGCAAGUCGAACGGGAGUAGCAAUACUCUAGUGGCGGACGGGUGAGGAAUACGUAGGAAUUUGCCCUUAAGUGGGGGAUAACCCGGGGAAACCCGGAUUAAUACCGCAUGACCUCGAAAGAGCAAAGUGGGGGAUCGCAAGACCUCACGCUUUUGGAGAAGCCUACGUCGGAUUAGCUAGUUGGUGAGGUAAUGGCUCACCAAGGCGACGAUCCGUAACUGGUCUGANAGGA
rnacentral:rRNA from 1 species